rnacentral:rRNA from 1 species
AGCGAACGCUGGCGGUAGGCCUAACACAUGCAAGUCGAACGGCAGCACAGUAAGAGCUUGCUCUUACGGGUGGCGAGUGGCGGACGGGUGAGGAAUACAUCGGAAUCUGCUUUUUCGUGGGGGAUAACGUAGGGAAACUUACGCUAAUACCGCAUACGACCUACGGGUGAAAGCAGGGGAUCUUCGGACCUUGCGCGAUUGAAUGAGCCGAUGUCGGAUUAGCUAGUUGGCGGGGUAAAGGCCCACCAAGGCGACGAUCCGUAGCUGGUCUGAGAGGAUGAUCAGCCACACUGGAACUGAGACACGGUCCAGACUCCUACGGGAGGCAGCAGUGGGGAAUAUUGGACAAUGGGCGCAAGCCUGAUCCAGCCAUACCGCGUGGGUGAAGAAGGCCUUCGGGUUGUAAAGCCCUUUUGUUGGGAAAGAAAAGCAGCAGGUUAAUACCCCGCUGUUCUGACGGUACCCAAAGAAUAAGCACCGGCUAACUUCGU